CCUACGUGAGGCAGCAGUGGGGGAUAUUGCACAAUGGGGGGAACCCUGAUGCAGCGACGCCGCGUGGGUGAAGGAGUGCUUCGGCAUGUAAAGCCCUAUCGGCAGGGAAGAAGCAAGACGGUACCUGACUAAGAAGCCCCGGCUAACUACGUGCCAGCGGCCGCGUUAGUACGUAGGGGGCGAGCGUUAUCCGGAUUCACUGGGUGUAAAGGGAGCGUAGACGGCCAAGCAAGCCAGGGGGGAAAGCCCUGGGCCCAACCCCGGGACUGCCCUUGGAACUGCAUGGCGGGAGUGCGGGAGGGGCAGGCGGAAGUCCUGGUGGAGCGGGGAAAUGCGUAGAUAUCAGGAGGAACACCGGCGGCGAAGGCGGCCUGCUGGACCGCGACUGAAGUUGAGGCUCGAAAGCGUGGGGAGCGAACAGGAUUAGAUACCCGUGUAGUC
rnacentral:rRNA from 1 species